UCCUUUUAAAAACCAGCAGCAGCUGGUGUUACAGCCAUGGGAAAAAUGGCUUGAAGAACUUCAUUUUCUUUGCAAAAAAUGGAGAGAUUCUUCCAUGAAAGGGGGUUUGUGAGUGAUUAAAUCAAGUAAUUGGAAAGAAAGCAUGAUCUAGAGGGUUUGGAGAGCAGAAAUAAAGGAAGAAAAGUAAGGGUUAAUGAGAGAGAAAGAGAGAGCUUGAGUUCUAGAGAGUGGAAUGAAGAAAGGCUUGGAUUGCUUGGAAAAAAUUCGUUGGUUUCGUGUGAACAAGAGGAGAUGCAUGCUGAACAUGAUUAACCUUGGAAGAAGGGAGUUAAAUCUACAAAUAUCAGGUUCAUCUCAGACAUGCUAGGAGCAAUAACUUGUUAUUGUGAUUCCUUCAGUAGUUUUAGGUAGUGAUUAUGAACAUUGUGAUAUCUUAUGUUUUUUGGAUUGUAAAUAAUAGAUUUUAUAUUUUUUGUGGCAUGUAAUCUAAAUGUUUCUUUUAGUAUAUGUAAAAGUUAACUUAAGUUUUAUUAAUUGUUGAUGGUUAUAAUUUUUAA